rnacentral:rRNA from 1 species
GGGGUAAGCAGCAAUGCGUAUUUAUAACCCUGUAUAUAACCUAUUUUCUUUUAUUCUAGAGGUGUCAAGAAAAAGUUACCAUAGGGAUAACUGGCUUGUGGCGGCCAAGAGUUCAGAUCGACGUCGUCUUUUUGAUCCUUCGAUGUCGGCUCUUCCUAUCCUUGUCUUGCAAGAAAAGACAAAGCGUUGGAUUGUUCACCCAUUAAAAGGGAACGUGAGCUGGGUUUAGACCGUCGUGAGACAGGUUAGUUUUAUCCUACUGUCGAGUAUAGAAAUCUAAUUGCAACAAUAGCAAUUUAUAAUAUAGAGUAGUUUUGAUAGUAAUUUAAUUCAGUACGAGAGGAACCAUUAAUUCAUAUAAUUGGUAAUGCACCUGAUUGAAAAGUCAAUGGUGCAAAGCUAACAUAUGUUUGUUUAUAGCUGAACGCCUCUAAGCUAGAAACGAACCUAAAGACAGAACUAUAUAUUCAUUAGGAG